rnacentral:rRNA from 1 species
AGCGAACGCUGGCGGCAGGCCUAACACAUGCAAGUCGAACGGAUCCUUCGGGAUUAGUGGCGGACGGGUGAGUAACACGUGGAGCGUGCCCUUUGGUUCGGAACAACUCAGGGAAACUUGAGCUAAUACCGGAUGUGCCCUUCGGGGGAAAGAUUUAUCGCCAUUGGAGCGGCCCGCGUCUGAUUAGCUAGUUGGUGAGGUAAAGGCUCACCAAGGCGACGAUCAGUAGCUGGUCUGAGAGGAUGAUCAGCCACAUUGGGACUGAGACACGGCCCAAACUCCUACGGGAGGCAGCAGUGGGGAAUCUUGCGCAAUGGGCGAAAGCCUGACGCAGCCAUGCCGCGUGAAUGAUGAAGGUCUUAGGAUUGUAAAAUUCUUUCACCGGGGACGAUAAUGACGGUACCCGGAGAAGAAGCCCCGGCUAACUUCGUGCCAGCCGCCGCGGUAAUAC